rnacentral:rRNA from 1 species
GUCUUUUAGAGUAUAAUUUAAAGUCUAACCUGCCCACUGAAUUUUUUUGAAGGGCCGCGGUAUUUUGACUGUGCAAAGGUAGCAUAAUCAUUAGUCUUUUAAUUGGAGGCUUGUAUGAAUGGUUGGAUGAAACAUUAACUGUCUCAAUUUAAUAAAAGUAGAAUUUAAUUUUUAAGUUAAAAAGCUUAAAUUUAAUUAGAGGACGAGAAGACCCUAUAGAUCUUUAUAAUUUAUUAUUUAUUAUUUAUAUAGUAAGUUAAUUAAUAUUAAUUAAUUGAUUAUUUUAUUGGGGUGAUAAAUAAAUUUAGUAAACUUUAUUUUAUAUAAACAUUAAUUUAUGAAUAUUUGAUCCAUUAUUAGUGAUUAAAAGAUUAAGUUACCUUAGGGAUAACAGCGUAAUUUUUUUAGAGAGUUCUUAUCGAUAAAAAAGUUUGCGACCUCGAUGUUGAAUUAAAGGUUAAUUUUAGGUGCAGAAGUUUAAAGUUUUGGUCUGUUCGACCAUUAAAUC